rnacentral:rRNA from 1 species
CACGUAGGGCGCAAGCGUUGUCCGGAAUUAUUGGGCGUAAAGAGCUCGUAGGCGGUUCGGUAAGUCAGGUGUGAAAUCUCCACGCUCAACGUGGAGGGGCCACCUGAUACUGCCGUGACUCGAGUCCGGUAGGGGAGUGUGGAAUUCCCGGUGUAGUGGUGAAAUGCGUAGAUAUCGGGAGGAACACCAGUGGCGAAGGCGACUUCCUGGCCUGUUCUUGACGCUGAGGCGCGAAAGCUAGGGUAGCAAACGGG